GAAUGCAGAGUCAAUCUGGCUGAGACAUCUGUCACCACAUUGAUCCCCCAGAGGUGAUUUGAAUGAUCAGAUUGGUGAAGCAGUUUGCCUCUUCCUAUUUUACUGUCUUAUGUAUAUAAGCUCUCAAAGCUUCCAUUGUUGGAAGGGGAUGGCCAACAUUGAUAGAGGAGGGGUCAAUGUCUGGUCAGGGGUAGAGGAAUAGAGGUACGUAGUUAUGGGUUUAUUUCCUUCUCCAAUCUCUAAACAAGCUCUUUUUUU
ensembl:misc_RNA 7SK 7SK RNA